AAUGGCUUGGCUGGGAGGGCGGGAGGCGCGCGCAACGUUCUGGUAAUUAUGAUUGCGAAAUAGCGAGUGGUUCGGCUCAGCAUCCAUUUCCGGGUGACAUCGUGUCUACUGCUGCAGGCACCACAGCCCCUUGGGAAAUGUAGGCUCAGAACGUACACAGCAUGAGCCUACUCCACCCCCACCCCCACCCCUGUCCUAAGGAAGCAUCUUUUCUCGCCCGUCACGCGCGGAGCGCGGGUGGCAGAAACGGAAGUUACGUGCUACGCUCGCGCUGGUCUGAUUUCUUAGAACCCUAGCUAUCUGGCAUAUGUACCUGAGGAUGACUGAAUUUAUACGAGGCCUCUGCGCGAGUGCUGGGGUUACAGAUGUUGUGACCAUCUCACAGGAUCCACAGUGUCAGGAUGGACAUUUGCAGGGCGCGUGGCAGAUGAUGCUGUCAAAAAUAUGUUCCCUGUGAAGAGAAAAAUUGAGCCCUUUUGGACCAGUGAGAUUAUUAAGAAUAUAGUUUUAAAAUCAUGGUAAAAUCUUGAUUGCUGGGGAGCUAAAUUUUGUCAUUGGUCAAGAUAAACUUCUAAGGUCUGCCCUUCAGGCUGUCCUGUUCAAGAUUCACCAGCCCACCAGGAUGAAUCACUGUUUCUAGGGAUGCCUUGGGAGGCAGCUGGAAAGCCUUGGAUACUUGCUUUUAUAGCUGAUCCUACAAAUUGAUAUAGGUUUGCAUCUGAAUUUCUGCCCAGGAAAAUGAAGAACAAGAGCGUGCAUGGACUCAACAGGGAUUCUGAGUAACUAAUGCUGCCAUGAAUAUCUCCAAAGGACAGAUGAACAAAGAAAGGAACAGGUAUCUAACUCUAUUAGGACCCCCUUCUGGUAAGAGCUUAUCUUAGUGCAUUGAUGAGCUCCCUGCCUGUGCAGGAACCCCUCCAGGUAACUGCUUAUCUUAGUGACGUAAAACUCCUUGCCUGUGCAGGCCCCCCUCCAGGUAAGUGCUUAUCUUAGUGACUUUUAAACUGCCUUCUGCUGUGCAGGCCCCCUUCCAGGUAACCACUUAAUAGUCACUUUUAAACUCUCUGCUUCUGUGAAGCUCCCCUGUAGCUGACAACUGAAAUGCCAGGAUUUAGAUUUUAAUUUCAAAAACCUGUGCUCUGGACACUCAGGCUGUUGUUACUAGGUGUCCAAAUAAUUGGAUUUAGUUCCAGCCAGCUGGAAUAAAGACUUUCAUUUGGGUAUAAACUGUCUUGAGUAGUCUUCUCGUGGGCCCUUGGUAAUACAGGCUCACAGUUUGCUUACUCAAUUUUCCUUUCUCUUCCUCCUUCCUUCUAUGGCAAAAUAUAAUUUUUUUUAAAUGAAAGACUAUCAGAAAAUGAGUCUAAAGUUCCACUGCAAUGAACAUCAGAAGGACGCACGUGUUCAUGCUGACCUGUGCCUUUCAUGUAGCUGGCUGAGCUGCCCAGUCACUCUGCUUAGUGUUCGUGUUUUAUGCCUCCUAUUAGGCAACGGCUUUCCCAUCCACUUCUGUUUUGCUCUUGUUCAUGUAUUUGGAUAGCUUUCCUUUUGCUUCUUCUUUCUCUUGUUUUGCUUCCUUAUGCUUUCACACUAGUGUAGGCUCUAAUGGCCUCAUCUUUGUGUUGCAUGUUGGCUUGCAAUGCAUCUUUCUCCUUCGCCUCCGUUUAUUGAUUUCUAUAAAUACCCAGUUCCGCUUGCUUUAUAUGAUGAUGCCUCUGCUUGUUUCCAAUGGUUUCUGAUGUACAGUUGAGAACUGACUUCUCCCAUCCUCUGUUUCAGGGGUUUCAGUUGCAAAUGCCUGCAGAAUCCAGAUGGGGAACAUGUGUGACAUGAUUCCUGGUUGGACCACAGUGAUCAUUGAGUCAAAGCUUCAUCCUUGUAUUCUGGUGUCUGCUAUUAUGGUUGGUAUUGACUUCUUCAUUUUCAUCCUUGUCCAGCUCUCCCCUCAACUGCAUUAAUAGGUAUGCUUCCACAUUUCCUGUCUACACACUCCAGAGCUCAUAUUUCCUUCCUUUCUUAUAUAAUUGAUCUCUAUUAUCCCAUGCGAAAUCUGUUAAUGUAUUACAAAGGGAAUGCACCUUAACCUCUUCAGCACCCUUUAUUAGUUACUUUUCUAAGGCUGUGAACAAAAUGUCAUGUCCAAAUGCAAAUUCAAGAACAGGGUUUAUUUGUUGCUCUCAGCUCCAGAAGCGCAGGCAGUGUGCCAUGUGGUCCGGCUUGGGGAAACAGUAAGGCCUCAACUGGUACCACUACCUGUGUUCAAAUUCAUGAGCCUAUGGGGACAGUGCUCUUUCGAGCUACAACAAAGGGUAAAACCUGCAUCUUGUUAGAACAUGAUAAUUUUAUGUGAAAGGACUUCCCUCUUCAGUAAUGCAUGCAGAGCUAUUAAGAAAAGAAGACAACUUGGCAAUUGUGAAAACUUUAAAUUUCAGAGAUGGAUUGUGACUAGUCCGCUGACCAGUGACACAGUUAUGGAGGUGAAGCUGCUGAAAGGGGAACUACAAAGUAUGGAUUCAGGACAGAAGUUUUAGAAAAGGUCUCUUCAGGCCCAAAUGCUAGAUUGUACGGCACGAAUCAGCAAAUUGUGGAAGUAAAUACAGUACUUUUGAAUCUUGUCGCAGAAUACCAUUUGGUUUCCUUAGUUGAGGAGCGGGAAGUUAACAAGAAUAGCACAUGUUUUUACGUGGUCCCUGGACGGAUCUGAGGGCAGGAGUAGACUCUGUCUGUGAAGCCUUAGUAUAAACAAUAUUCAUGUUUUUACUUUUAUUUCAUUUGGUUUGAAACAAGAUCUCGCCAUGUAUGCCUUGGCUUUCUGUAAAUGCUCUACAUAGAUCAAACAGGCCCCCUAACUUGGAGCCAUCCUGCUUCUACCUCCCUAUUGCUAUGAUUAAGGGCAUGGGCUACUAAACAUGGCACAAAUUGGGGACUUAGUUCAGUGGUAGAUCAUUUUCCUAGCAGGUAAGGUACAACUUACAAUAGGAGAAUGGGUGAGUAUGAUAUUUUACAAAUACAUGUGUAAACUGCUUCUGGGUGGGUUACUUAGUCUAGGGGUUGUAACCCACCCUGCAGUCAGUUAUUCCAGGGUCCCGGAGAGGCACUAUCUGGAAGAUAAUGGGAUAAGAGAGAGGAAUAAGGCUAAGCGGGGAUUCCUGUCAAAGCCUCCGUUUAGAGAUGGGGUACAGCUUAUAUAGGGUAAGGAGUUGGGGGGUUGGCAGAGGGGCCUGGGCUCUUGCUGCAUGGUUCACGUUGGUCAUGUGGUCCAGGAGGUUACCUUCGGUCAGGUCACAUAGGCCUGGAAGUCAUGAGUUGACACACAUAGUUCUCUAGAUAGUUUGGAAUGUGGGGUGGGUUCUGCUAACAGAAAGCUCUCCAUUAACAGCCAAUUUGGGUGUGGGGUAGGCUCUGUCAAUAGAACGAUUCCUAACACAAUUAGGGGUGUGGGGUUCUCUGCAGACUCCCCAGGGUGAUGGUUCCUGCAAUAAUCCUUGGAGGAAAUGGCUCCAGACAUACAUGUAGUCAUUUAUCAGAUCAAGCUGAGUGAGAGGUAGCAACAUGUAAGUCUCUUUCUUGGACACAGGGUUUCGCUCUUUGUCCCCGGCUGUCCUGUAACAGGAGCACAAUGUACCACCUAUCUACCUCAUUUUUCUUUUGAAUAUUAUUUGCUGAGGAUAGGAUCCAUGGGUAUUCUUCAGUGUUAUCGUAUUUUAACAGAUUUAAUGAUCACUGUUCUCAUGACUAGUCCCUCAAAGACGCAAACCUGCUUUAUAUUUACCCCUUGUUUUAAGGUAGACAACUGAGGAAAAAGCACAACAAGCCCCACCGGAAAAGAAGUGGCUUUUUCAGUUACAUGCUAACCUUUUUUCCUGGUUUGUGCAUGUGAACCAUUCCUUUGCAUAGUGUUCCUGUCUUUACAUAGUAAAUCCUUAUAGUGUGGUUGACUAAUUACAUACACCACUCACAGUCAAAAAUCCCCAGGUUCUAGUAUCAGAAGAAAGUAUCUUAAAGAUGUGGGGAACGUAGCUGCAGACUCUGUUUUAUAAUUCUUUUUCAGUUCACUAAUGAAAGCUGAAUAUUCCCAUAGUCACUGCUACACUGCUGAAUGCUCGUGUUCAUUACUGUGACACCACCCAGCUGAUGGCAUUUUGGCAACCGGAGAAGCGUUACCCAACAAUAAACGACAGUCUCCGAUCUCUCCCUUUUGGCUUGCUCAUCAGAUACUACCUAGAAUUUGUUUGGGGGCAAGGUUGCAGGAGUCAAUAUUUUACUUUAGGAGUCUUGCUUAAUUCUUCUAUCUUGGGGAUUGGUGGGAUAGGUCAUAGAUAUGGACAACAUGUGACUUUCAAAUAUUUUCCCAAUAAAUUCACAAGGUAACUUUGAGUCAAGCUUUAUGUCUUAUCACGAAUCUUUCCUCCUCUUUCUUACAUGUCCUAACAGAAUUUUUGUUCUUUACACCCCCCUUUCUGUUACCCCACCGUGAUAUGUUUCAGCAAUGUCUCUUCCUUUCCCUGUUCAGAAACGGAUCAGUGAAACCGGCAUUGUGAGUAAAGAGGCUGAAUGUUGGCAUGGAAUCCAUGAUGCUCUCGGGAUGUAACAGCAGGAAUGGCGCACAAAGAGGAUAUAGAGGAAGGUUGUCCAAAGAACAAAUGCUUGAUAUUUUGGCAGAUAUGGGACCACCAAGCUCUUACCAAUGGGAGAAGCCUGAUAUUUGUGUCGCUCAUCAGUGGGUACAGUACCUGAAGGAACAAGAGAAGCAACACCCAGUGGACAACAAUGUGACAUAUUGGGUGAAGACCAUUGAAAACACUACUUGCCUCUACUGGACUGGGGUUUUCUUUUCUUCUUGAAACAUAACAUAGUUAAUACUUUGACUGAAGAACAUGCAUAAUUUUAUUAUCCUUGAAAUAGCUGUUCAUAACAUUUGAGUCUAUUUACCAUCCAUUCUUUAGAAAAGUAGUGUGUAAAGUAGAAUUUUAUAACAGUAUACAUUUUACUGUAUAUUUUUAUUCUGGUAUUUUAUCAUUUCAGAAUUUAAAAGUAUAUUUCUAUGUCAUGUUCUUUGAUAAGUCUACAUAGGAUAUGGACUUUACUGGAUUUAUUUAGACACUGCCAUAUUACUCUACUUUUUGGCCUGGUCAAUUUUUUUUAAGCAUGUAACAUUGUAAUCAUAUUUUCUUGAAAAUUAACUUCUACCAUGGAAUUCUUUUACUUGAAGACUUCAUAAAGGUGCUUUUGAAUUAUUCACAUUAUAGUUGCACAAAUCAUAAUCCUACUCGUAGUGAAUAAAUGUGAAUAUUUCUUUAACCCAUUAGAAUAUAACCUUUUUGUAAGGUUCUAGUAACUACAUAAGUAAUGUGUCUGUCUUCAGAUGCUCCUGUCACUUUAGUAUUUGUUCUUAUUCACUGGGGAUUGUUGGUUUAUGGAGAGGAGCUGUGUUGUAUAGUAGAAUUACAGGUGCAUACCACCAUACCCAGGAGUAGGAGACUAUGCAAGUGAGUGAAAGUUCUAGAGAGGCCGGAGGUUUUCUAUGCAGCUGAAAUUACAAGCAAAUAUAAUCUCCCUGCCAUGGGUGCUGGGAAUGCAAAUAAGGUCCAGUGCAAGACACUAUGCUCUUCUAAUCACUAGGUGAUCCCUCUGGCACCCUGGGUACAAGUUUUGUGUGAUAAGCUAACCAUGGGAGCAAGUUCAAUUUUUUUUUUUUCAGUUUUCAUGUAAGAUAAUUUUACUAGCUCUGCCUCUGGAAAUUUUAGCCAUUAGGGUUUGGUCUCAGUUCCUUGAGAGCAUAUAGCAAUGGGGUUUAUUUUUUUGUCUGAGUACCUCUCUGCUUAAGUGUCCUUUGCUGUCCCUUUUAUUGCAUGUUCCCUCAUAUUCUUUUGAACUUUUAGAUUUUUCAUUUAAACUUGACAAAACCUUUUGUAAAUUAUAUUGUUGGGUAAUAUGUUCUUCCAGCUAUUUACUUGUAUUUUGUGCUUUUAGCUGUCUUUUAAUGCUGAUGUUUAGUUACUAAAUUUUUGGAAUCAUACAGCAUUGUUUGGUACGUUAUAUCAGAAACUUAAUAAUAGUUUCACCCAGGUGGUGUAUCUUAGAUUAUAUUUGUUUGUUUGUUUUUUUCAAGACUGUGUUUCUCUGUAUACCUGGUUGUCCUAGUUGGCCAAAAUCAUGCCAACAGAAAAUAUUUGGAUACUUUGUGCCAUCUCUCUUUUUUUUUUUUUAGAGCAAAAUCCCUCAUUCUGAUCUCCUUUGUUCAUCCCUUUUGCUGACCAUCCACCUGCCAUUAAAAGAUAAUAAACAUCCAUAACCCAUAUUUUGGGAAUGUGGGUAUAUUUCUUCCUGCGAAUUGUGGCCUCUGGUAGUUUUUGGGAUACCCUGAGGAAACAGCUGUAACUGUUAAGCAGAGAAACCUUGUCUCAAGGGGAAAAAAAAGAUUACAUUGAAUUAAUUGAAUAACCUUUAGCUUUAAAGGCAAAGUCAAUAAAUAAUGGCUGA